UCAGAAUGAUGGUCACUAUACUGGAUGGACUUCUGAACUAGUGAAUUACUUUCAUCUUUUGAUCACACUAGGAAAUUGUCCACCGAGUUGAAAUAUUUAUUGCAGUAAUUUCUGGCCUUACAUAAUUAAGGUUGAAUGCCUUUGAGAACUUGAUGCAUAAAAUUUGCAUGACUCCUCACUCCUUUCUGAAUCUCUCAUUGGACUCAAGCCAGCAUGGCUCACACCACAAAGGUUAACGGCAG
rnacentral:lncRNA from 1 species